rnacentral:rRNA from 1 species
UAUANNUUGAGNUGNCAAGUCAUCAUGGCCCUUACGGCCAGGGCUACACACGUACUACAAUGGUAGGGACAGAGGGCUGCAAGCCGGCGACGGUAAGCCAAUCCCAGAAACCCUAUCUCAGUCCGGAUUGGAGUCUGCAACUCGACUCCAUGAAGUCGGAAUCGCUAGUAAUCGCAGAUCAGCAUUGCUGCGGUGAAUACGUUCCCGGGCCUUGUACACACCGCCCGUCACACCAUGGGAGUUUGUUGCACCAGAAGCAGGUAGCUUAACCUUCGGGAGGGCGCUUGCCACGGUGUGGCCCGAUGACUGGGGUGAAGUCGUAACAAGGUAGCCCGUAUCGGAAGGUGCGG